rnacentral:rRNA from 1 species
AUACGAAAGGUGCAAGCGUUGUUCGGAUUUACUGGGCGUAAAGAGAUCGUAGGUGGUUUAUUAAGUCGGAUGUGAAAUCCCGGGGCUCAACCCCGGAACUGCAUUCGAUACUGGUAGACUAGAGUUUGGGAGGGGUAAGCGGAAUUCCGUGUGUAGCAGUGAAAUGCGUAGAUAUACGGAGGAACACCUGAGGCGAAGGCGGCUUACUGGACCAAUACUGACACUGAGACUCGAAAGCGUGGGUAGCAAACAGGAUUAGAAACCCCAGUAGUCC